rnacentral:rRNA from 1 species
AUUGAACGCUGGCGGCAUGCUUUACACAUGCAAGUCGAACGGCAGCGCGGGCUUCGGCCUGGCGGCGAGUGGCGAACGGGUGAGUAAUGCAUCGGAACGUGCCCAGUAGUGGGGGAUAGCCCGGCGAAAGCCGGAUUAAUACCGCAUACGACCUGAGGGUGAAAGCGGGGGACCGAAAGGCCGCGCGCUAUUGGAGCGGCCGAUGUCGGAUUAGCUAGUUGGUGGGGUAAAGGCGUACCAAGGCGACGAUCCGUAGCUGGUCUGAGAGGACGACCAGCCACACUGGGACUGAGACACGGCCCCGACUCCUACGGGAGGCAGCAGUGGGGAAUUUUGGACAAUGGGGGCAACCCUGAUCCAGCCAUGCCGCGUGCGGGAAGAAGGCCUUCGGGUUGUAAACCGCUUUUGUUCGGGAAGAAAUCCUCUGGGCUAAUACCCCGGGGGGAUGACGGUACCGGAAGAAUAAGCACCGGCUAACUACGUG